UUCUUCUGUGCAACCACCUCUUCUGAUUUGGGAAUGAUCUGCUCAUUUUGAGUAAGCAUCAUGUUAAAGUGGAAGGAGAACUGGUGUACGGGUUUACCUGACCUUGAACUCUUCAAGCUCGGUUGCCUUCUUCACCCAGAUAUGCUGAAUGACCAGAAAAUCUGCAUCUAAACCCUUACGGAAAUGGGAGUCAGAAGUCCAACUGGAGAAUAGACCUCUCCUCUCAUAGAAGUCCUUCCACAUGCCUGGACAAGAUGCAGAGUGCAGGGCCUUGGAACCAGCAGAGAAAAAAGAAAAAUUAGGGCCUCCCUUGGUCAAGGAAUCAGAUUUUCCUCACUGAACCAAUGGCUGCUGUCCCUACUGUCUGCUAUUAGCAUAUCCGAUUAUUAUGUCAGGUGUUUACUCUUCUGAUCCCACGGUUUAUGCACCAGUAAAGAUGUCUUCAGUGGCCAGAAAGAGAGAAAUUCUAUUCAGUUGGCUUAGACAAUAAGGAAAAUGUCUUAUCUCCCAGAACAAAGAGUCCAGAGGAAGGGUAGCUUCAGCAGAGAUUAAUCCUUCAGCUCAACAUCACCAUCAAGGACUUGGCUAUUUCCUCUUUUCCUUCCCCUCUGCCAUUCUCAGCGUAUUACCUUGUCCUUGGCUCGCUCUCCUCAUGGUCACAAGAUGGCUGCCACCACCCCAGUCAUCACAUUGUCACACAACAAUGUCCACAACAGCAAAAUAAAACAAACUCAGGAAACGC